AAUAAAAAAACAAAAUGUAUAGACAUAUUUUACGCUUAGAAUUAAUUGAAGAUGAAGAAAAAAGUGCAAGAAGGCGUAUGUUAAAGAGCUUGAGAGGAAAAAAUAACUCAUUUAAUUUGGAAGACACCGUUUUCAUUCAGCAUUUUCGCCUGAACAAACCAGUUUGUUGGGGUCUUAUGAACGAAUUAGCACCAUAUGACAAACAGAAGACAUCCUUGCCGUUUUAUUUGAGGUUUCUCUCAACAAUAUAUUCCUUUUCCCACGGGUCGUAUCAGAAAUGCGUUGGGAGCAAUUGUCUAACUGCGAUGAGCCAGUCUUCAGUUUCACGAUCACUGAUUGUCAAAAUGAGAGCCGGAGAAAUUUGCUUCCCAACAACAAGUGAAAUGCAAACACAAAAUAAGAGGAUUUUAUUCGAAGUUUGGAAUAAAAGGCGUCAUUGGUGCAAUUGACUGCACACACAUUGGCAUUAUAGCACCUACAAGCAACGACCCUACAAAUCCAGCAAGCCUGUAUAUGAACCGGAAGGGUAAUGUAGAGGCAGUGUGUGACGCAAGCCUGAAUUUUUUGUCAAUAAACGACUACUUUCCUGGGUCUUGUCAUGACUCGGGGAUAUGGACGACAUCCAUGAUUAGAAGCUUCUUAAUGGAUCAACGUGGGUGUUGGCUCAUAGGCGACCAAGGCUAUCCUCUGGAACCCUGGCUACUAACCCCAGUUUCAGAACCAACAAGCACGCUUGAGGAAAAUUACAAUAGAGUACACUGUGCAGCACGCAAUGUAAUUGAACGUACUUUUGGUGUAUUGAUAUCAAGAUUUCAAUGUCUCUCAAAGCACCGCAUUUUAAACUAUAGUCACAAAACAGUAGUAUCUAUCGUCAAUUCAUGUGCAAUACUCCGUAAUAUUAUCAAUAAAACCGCAUGCUAUACCAACAUAGAGCAAAUGGAACUGGAGGAGAAUGAAAUUAAUGAAAAUAUUAAAACUGUGCGAGCAACAACUAUCCGGAACGAACUCUUUCGAGAAGCUGAACGGAUUCGUGCACAUUUGAUGCGUAUGAUUUCGUUUUCACAGUUUUUAAUUACUUUGUGAAGAAAUGAAUAGAAGAAGUAUUAAAAAACAAUAUUUUUAUUGUAUCACAAAUUCAGUCUUCAUUGUUUCUGUAUUGAGGCAUGGCUAUAUACAUAUUUACAUAAAUCUUAAUACUACUAACUAAAAUGUCUUCUAGACAAACACUAGUGGUGAUUGAGUCGCAGGAGUUGUAAAUGUGCCCUAAGAAGACCCAAGGUUACGCACUCCAAUCCAUUGACUGCGCCCAUGCCAAAUGCAGAAAUAGCUUGUUCCUCGAACUCUG